CGAGGAGAGAUUUUUCAUCGAAGUAGAGAAGUACUCACUUUUAUAUGACUCGUCUUAAAAAUUCUACAAGGAUCCAACUAAUAAAAAUGCGUUAUGGAGAGAGAUUGCAAAGACCAUGCACAUUUCAGAUGGUGUUAAAGACGCCACUGCUCCUGUGUUGCAGGAAGUGCUGUGUGCAAUCAUCUGGUGGCCCUUCUUUACCAGACAGCGCACUACUCUCAACUAAACAUUCCUGCUGCACCACCAGUUCACAGCUGCACAGACACAGAACAGCGUUGGCACGAGCCAAGAACACUUCCAGGUCCGGUUGAUGGGAUAGAGUUCCGUAAACUUACUAACUCGUGUGCUGAUGGAAUAAGAAGUUGUCUCUACAAAGCACUCCAUGGAUAUAUGCCUGACAUGGACCUUCUCCACGUCUCAGAAACAUAUGCCAACUUUUCUCCACUUACUUCCCCUCUUGUGAAAACAAUGGAAAUGUCAGCUGAUGUGCCCCUGGUUGAGUCCUCCUUUGGGCCAGUGCAAGCUGGCAGUGUGCUGUCCUAUCAACUUCCACAGCCAAAGACCCGUGAAAUUGUGAAAAUUGCCGAUGCCCCUUCUCCACUAAUACUUCUGUUAGAUGGCAACAGGCUUCAGUCUUCCCAGUGUGCUUACAUCCUUAGCCAUCAGGGG